rnacentral:rRNA from 1 species
GUUGAACGCUGGCGGCAGGCCUAACACAUGCAAGUCGAACGGAGCGGCGGACGGGUGAGUAAUGCCUAGGAAUCUGCCUGGUAGUGGGGGAUAACGUCCGGGAACGGACGCUAAUACAACAGACUAUCAGAUGGGCCUCGGUUGGAUUAGCUAGUUGGUGGGGUAACGGCUUACCAAGGCGACGAUGCAUAGCUGGUCUGAGAGGAUGAUCAGUCACACUGGAACUGAGACACGGCCCAGACUCCUACGGGAGGCAGCAGUGGGGAAUCUUGGACAAUGGGCGAAAGCCUGAUCGAGCCAUGCCGCGUGUGUGAAGAAGGUCUUCGGAUCGUAAAGCACUUUAAUUAGGGAGGCGUUAUCUAAAGAAUAAGCACCGGCUAACUUCGUGCCAGCAGCCGCGGUAAUAC